rnacentral:rRNA from 1 species
UACGUAGGGUGCUAGCGUUGUUCGGAAUCAUUGGGCGUAAAGCGCGUGUAGGCGGUUUGAUAAGUCGAGUGUGAAAUCCCUGGGCUUAACCGAGGAAGUGCAUUCGAAACUAUCAGGCUAGAAAACGGUAGAGGAAGGUGGAAUUCCUAGUGUAGAGGUGAAAAUUCGUAGAUAUUAGGAGGAAUACCGGUGGCGAAGGCGGCCUCUGGACCGAUUUUGACGCUGGAGACGCGAAAGCGUGGGGAGCAAACAGG